rnacentral:lncRNA from 1 species
UUGGUAUUAUCAUCUGAUAAGUCAUGUCGAUUAUAAGAUACACAGUUUUCUCUGCUUUCAAAUCUUUCUGUUUGAACCCGUCGACCUGGAACUUAUCAUUAUUGGAAAUAUUAAUUAUUUGGAAAACAAAAGGUCCUGGCUAUCCAGGAAUGGAGUAUUUUUUAAUCAACAGCAUUGUCCUAUAUUAGUUAUCUUAGAAAGUCUUGCUGAUUGCUGAAUAAAACUACA